GACGAACGCUGGCGGCGUGCUUAACACAUGCAAGUCGAACGAUGAACUUGGAGCUUGCUCUGGGGGAUUAGUGGCGAACGGGUGAGUAACACGUGAGUAACCUGCCCUGGACUCUGGGAUAACUUCGAGAAAUCGGAGCUAAUACCGGAUAGGACCUUGCACCGCAUGGUGUGGGGUGGAAAGUUUUUCGGUUUGGGAUGGACUCGCGGCCUAUCAGCUUGUUGGUGAGGUAAUGGCGCACCAAGGCGUCGACGGGUAGCCGGCCUGAGAGGGUGACCGGCCACACUGGGACUGAGACACGGCCCAGACUCCUACGGGAGGCAGCAGUGGGGAAUAUUGCACAAUGGGCGCAAGCCUGAUGCAGCAACGCCGCGUGCGGGAUGACGGCCUUCGGGUUGUAAACCGCUUUUAGUAGGGAAGAAGCCUUCGGGUGACGGUACCUGCAGAAAAAGGACCGGCUAACUACGUGCCAGCCGCCGCGGUAUAC
rnacentral:rRNA from 1 species